GUCCUUCCGUUUUUUUUGUAAGGUCAGGCCUGCCCAGUGAGUAUUUAACGGCCGCGGUAUUUUGACCGUGCAAAGGUAGCAUAAUCAUUAGUCUUUUAAUAGGAGGCUGGAAUGAAAGGUUUAACGAAACUUGAUCUAUCUCAUUUAUAUUUUUAUAAUUUAACUUUUAAGUCAAAAGGCUUAAUUAAUAUUGGUGGACGAGAAGACCCUAUAGAGCUUUACAUUAUUUAUUUUAAUACUAAAUUGUUUAAUAAUAUUAUAUUAAUUUAUUGAAUGUUUUGUUGGGGUGACAAGGAAUAUAUAAUUAACUUUCAUUAUUUAAUAUACAUUAAUUUAUGAUUGUUGGAUCCAAUAAUAUUGAUCAUUAGAUUAAGUUACCUUAGGGAUAACAGCGUAAUCUUCUUUCAGAGUUCAAAUUUACAAGAAGGCUUGCGACCUCGAUGUUGGAUUAAGAUAAUAAUUAGGUGCAGUAGCUUAAUUAAUAGGUCUGUUCGACCUUUAAAUUCUUACAUGAUCUGAGUUCAGACCGG
rnacentral:rRNA from 1 species